UACGGAGGGUGCGAGCGUUGUCCGGAAUCAUUGGGCGUAAAGGGCGCGUAGGUGGCCCGGUCAGUUCGUGGUGAAAGCGCGGGGCUCAACCCUGCGUCGGCCAUGAAUACUGCCGCGGCUGGAGCACUGUAGAGGCAGGCGGGAAUUCCGGGGUGUAGCGGUGGAAUGCGUAGAGAUCCGGAAGAACACCGGUGGCGAAGGCG
rnacentral:rRNA from 1 species